UACGGGGGGGGGCAAGCGUUUGUUCGGAAUUACUGGGCGUAAAGGGCUCGUAGGCGGCCAACUAAGUCAGACGUGAAAUCCCUCAGCUUAACUGGGGAACUGCGUCUGAUACUGGAUGGCUUGGAUUCGGGAGAGGGAUGCGGAAUUCCAGGUGUAGCGGUGAAAUGCGUAGAUAUCUGGAGGAACACCGGUGGCGAAGGCGGCAUCCUGGACCGAUAUUGACGCUGAGGAGCGAAAGCUAGGGGAGCAAACGGG
rnacentral:rRNA from 1 species